UGAAUAUUUUCUCCAUUAAAAUACGUGACCACCACAAAAGUGAGCUCUAACCCAGAAGGAAUGCAGGCCUGAAUUAGGAAACUUUUGAACAAAACCUUCAGGCUGAAAUGAGCAUUCAUCGUAGGAUAUGAUAGAAGUGACUCUGUGCCUGUGUAACCCCAGGAUGUAUGGAACUGAGAGCUUCUACUUCCUGUCUGAUGUGAGAAAGCCAAGGUCACAUGGAGAGGCCAUGACAGUUCUAGCUGAGGCUCAAGUCAACAGCCAGCACCAACCACCAGACUGUGAUUGGGAAAACCUUUGAAAUGAUGCCAGCCCCAGGUUCCAACUGAGAAUUGUCCAGGUCAGAGGCAGUGGCUGUAGUCUCUUGGAAUAUGCUACCCCAUCUACCAGUUCCUUGACAAGGACACAGUCCCUGCUAAUACAGUGUCACAGUAAAUUUGCUUAUCUCUUAAG
rnacentral:lncRNA from 1 species